UGGGGAAUUUUGGACAAUGGGCGCAAGCCUGAUCCAGCAAUGCCGCGUGCAGGAUGAAGGCCUUCGGGUUGUAAACUGCUUUUGUACGGAACGAAAAAGCUCUCUCUAAUACAGGGGGUGAAUGACGGUACCGUAAGAAUAAGCACCGGCUAACUACGUGCCAGCAGCCGCGGUAAUACGUAGGGUGCAAGCGUUAAUCGGAAUUACUGGGCGUAAAGCGUGCGCAGGUGGUUUUGUAAGACAGAUGUGAAAUCCCCGGGCUUAACCUGGGAACUGCGUUUGUGACUGCAAGGCUGGAGGACGGCAGAGGGGGGUGGAAUUCCACGUGUAGCAGUGAAAUGCGUAGAGAUGUGGAGGAACACCGAUGGCGAAGGCAGCCCCCUGGGCCUGUACUGACGCUCAUGCACGAAAGCGUGGGGAGCAAACA
rnacentral:rRNA from 1 species